UAGUUAAUUAGCAUUAAUGUAUUACUAACUUGUAUUUUUUUUUUUUUUACGAAGAUUAAUAACGUCUGUAGCAAAUGUAGCAAUUGCUCAUUUUGAAUGUAAACGGUUAACUAAUAAGGUUUUAUUGUAGUGAUAUCUAUGGGUCUUUAUAGUUCUUUUGCACUUUAAACUUUAUAUAUUUUUCUGUAUUGCUUUAUUGAAUUUAAAUGUUUAGUUAUUUUUGUUUUAAGAAAAAAGUUAUUUAACCUAUAAUACUGUAUUAUGACCACUAAUUUUUAAAAAAUAAAUUUCAAUACCGUAUACCAUGAUAAAUGCAUAAUCAAUUAAUUGCAAUAGGAAAAUUUGAUACCGGCAUAUCCCUAGUCACAACAGAUGUGAAUUAAGGCACCGUUCACUAUUUUCAGAAGCACCUUCAGUGAUUUGGUUCUGAGACCAGGCCUGAUCUGAAUACUAAGUAAACCAGGACUAAAUGUAUUUUCUGCUUUGGUCUGCACCAAAAGAACCAAGAGAAUGGAGCUACAAGUGUAAACACACCAUUAAACUCUGAUCAAAUCAUAAAGAGUUCAUAAGUGUCCCACUCAAGGACCUCAGAGCGCAGCGCGGCCGGCACCGGCAACCUGCCCGCCGGGCACUCUCCCGGCACCUGCACCCCUCGACCGGCCUCCUCAACUCGCUGCUCGAUACCCCACGAAAGAGCCCGACCACCACCCCCUCAGGAAGGAUGGCCUCGGCCGCAACCUCCCCCUCUGGAGCACCGAACAGACGAGAGAGGGCAUCGGGUUUGGUGUUCUUGGAUCCCGGCCGGUACGAGAGGGUGAAAUUGAACCUGGCAAAGAAGAGCGCCCAACGGGCCUGGCGCGAGCUCAGCCUCCUGGCCGAACGGACGUAUUCCAGGUUCUUGUGAUCCGUCCAGACCAGGAAGGGCUGCACUGACCCCUCCAACCAGUGACGCCACUCACCCAAGGCCAAUCGUACCGCCAACAGUUCUCUAUUGUCGAUGUCGUAGUUACGUUCUGCAGGGCUGAGACGACGAGAGAAGAAUGCACAAGGGUGGAGCUUCCCACCGUGGAGGGAACGCUGAGACAGGACUGCGCCAACCCCGACGUCCGAAGCAUCAACCUCAACAAUGAAUUGGGCCUCAGGAUCUGGAACCAACAGAACAGGUGCAGAGACAAAACGGGACUUUAAAAUGUCAAAGGCUACCUGCGCUUCCUGGUUCCAGCUGAAGGACACUUUAGAGGAGGUUAAGGCUGUGAGCGGUGCAGCGAUCUGACCAAAAUUUCUGAUGAAUUUCUGAUGAAAGUUGGCAAAACCCAGGAAUCGCUGCAGAGCCUUCCGGGAGUCAGGAACCGGCCACUGGGCGACAGCUUCAAUCUUAGCGGGAUCUGGCUUGAUCCCCUCCGUAGAAAUAAUGUGGCCAAGGAACGUAACUGACUCAGCGUGGAAUUCGCACUUCUCCGCCUUGACAAACAACUGAUUUUCUAGUAACCACUGGAGAACCCGUCUGACAUGCUGGGUGUGUAAUUGGAGAUAGGGAGAAAAUCAAGAUAUCAUCCAAAUACACAAAGACACAUUGAUUGAUCAUGUCACCCAACACGCUGUUGACGAGUCCCUGGAAAACGGCUGGAGCAUUGGUAAGACCAAACGGAAGAACCAAGUACUCGUAGUGUCCCGAAGGAGUGUUAAACGCCGUCUUCCACUCAUCCCCCUCCCGAAUGCGCACCAAGUGGUAGGCGUUGUGCAGGUCUAACUUGGUGAAGACGCGAGCUCCCUGUAAUAAUUCAAAGGCAGAAGACAUUAAAGGUAGGGGGUACCUUUUCUUAAUAUUAAUGUCAUUCAAACCUCUGUAAUCAAUACAAGGGCGCAGGGAGCCGUCCUUCUUCUGAACAAAGAAAAAACCUGCACCAGCGGGAGAGGAGGAAUGGCGGAUGAGCCCAGCUUGAAGUGACUCACGUAUAUACUUGUCCAUGGCCUCUCUUUCAGGACCCGAAAGGGAAUAUAAACGACCCUUAGGCGGAGAAGAGCCCGGGAGAAGAUCAAUGGCACAGUCGUAGGGGCAAUGUGGGGGUAGCGAGGUGGCCCGGGCCUUACUGAAGACCGCCCGAAGAUCAUGGUACUCCACAGGAACACCGGACAGGUCAGAGGGAUCCUCCUGGGGAAGACAAGACACAGAGACAGGAGGAAAAACAGCACCCAAACAUGACACGUGACAAGACUGACUCCAGGCUAACACGGAAUUGUUGACCCAGUCAAUGUGAGGAUUGUGUUUAUGCAGCCAUGGGUGUCCCAGAAUUAAAGGGGCCUUAGGGGAAUCAAUAAUAAACAACUCAAUCAGCUCGCUAUGGCUAUCAGCAAUAUGAAGGUUUAACUUGGGGGUGAUGUGAGUGAUGGUGGUAAGGGGACGGCCAGCUAAUGACCAUGCUGAUACGGGACUAACUAAAGGGAUAAGUGGUGAAUGUCUAAAAUCUAUAUUGUCUAGGAUUUCUCACAUAAAAUCUGACAAAAGUAAAGGUAAAAUUGAAAUUAAAAUAAUGUAAAAACAACAACAAUAAAAACAAUUUAAACCAUAGCCAAAUGCAUAUCAUUGUUUUAUUAUAAAUAAUUUUUAACAUCACUGAAUGUUUCCCAACAACAAAUAAAGAAAAAAGAAAAAAAAAAAAGAAUAAAAGCCACAAAGCAAAAAACAAAUGUUCACUGGAGCACACAAGAAAAAAAGAACAAAGACAUAGCCACAUGGUAACCAGUACUAUUAUAUUAUGGAACAAAUUUACAUAAAAAAAUAUAAUAAUUGCACAGUUCAAUAAAAAAUAUUGCAAUAAGGUACAAGAUUUAUCUUUGUAGAAACCAGAUAAUGAAAGCGACGUGACAUACAGCCCAGUAUGGUCACUGUUUCAAGCUUGUUUUCAUUUUUCUUUGUAAACAAUUAUUGAUUAAAAUUGUGCUAUGAUUUCAGGAGUGUCUUAAAACCCCUCUAAAACAGAGAGGAAGUUCCAAGAAAAUUUCUAAUGGAAGCUGCUGACAGAGAUAGAAAACACAGUUUGUUUAUCUCUAAUAAGGAGCUGGAGGUCGUGGAGAAGCAGAUCCGUGACCUUGUGGAGAAGCAGGCCCAACUGAGAGAGUGGAGAGCCGUGCUGGAAACAUUCAGGGGUUGAUGCUCAUAAGUCCGGGGUAAAUAUACAGCAUGCUGCUAACUCUCCCACCACCUCUACUCUGUGUGGUUCUCUGCACAGGCCCGGUGUACCCAGGACGCGAUCUUCCCAGAUGUCCUUCACCCUAUUUCACAGUGUAAGACAUGAGCCAGGCCCUGGGCGACGACCUCUUCCCUCCGCCGCCUCCGGUCUUAAGGUGAAGUGCACACUCACUGUUUCCCUGGUGCUCGUGUUUUUGAUAUUUCUGCACAGAUACCCGCGAUCCUGAAGUGUGAAGAGUGCCCCUAGAGCGGUCGUGCUUCACGCCGGGGUUUAACGACACCAUGCUGCGGCAGACAGAGACACUGAAGAGGGACUUCAGGAUGAUCAUCGUGUCAGGAACGGUUCCCACUUAUAAAUGAGGACACGAAAGGAGCAUCCUAGGCUUUUUCGCGGUGAUGGCCUGCUCCCAAGCAGAGUCGGAGUGGAGCUGCUCUCUGACAACAUCUCCAGGAAACUUUUCUCCAUAUGACUAGUAAGUCAAUUGUCAAAUAACUGCUAUGAUGACUUUUGUUCUACCCACUUAAAUUGAAGUGGUAAACUAUCCCUUUAACAGUAGUGAAAAGGGAGCAACUUAUAAAAAAAAAAAUAGUUCAUAUAUAAUAUAUAUAAUUUAUCAUUUUGAAAGAAGCAGAAUAAGACAAUAACUAUUUUUUCAGAUACAGUAGGUUCACUUUACAUAUUUAUUUAACAUCUUUGUUGGUUAAUAUUAAUGACUCGAAUAGGUACUUUAUUAGGAAAGUGAUAAAAAAUUAUGUGAAAUGUGGCCAAGUAUGGUCACCCAUACUCAGAAUUAGUGCUCUGCAUUUACACCGUCCAAAGUGCACACACAGCAGUAAACACACACACACACAGAGUAAUAUUAUAUUCCGGUCUAAUCUUAUUAACGAAGACGCGGCAUUAAUUUUGUCAUAGUUUUUAUCAUCAGAUAUUAGUUUUAGCUUGUCAAUGUCUCAUCUUAGUUACAGAAAAAUGUUUGUUCAAAUAUUUUUAGUCAUCGCAAAAUUCACACUGUGUUCCCCGAAUAGUGAGGUCAAAGUAUACAAUCAAUGCAGGCUUUAGAAAAAAAAAUCUGAUUGUUAUUAAACCAGAAAAUAAGUUUGGGCUCAUAAUCAUUAGAUACCAUGCACCCAAAGCAGUUAUUGUAAAUGAAAUGAUAACAGAUAAUAGUUUUGAUGUACUCUGCUUGACUGAAACCUGGCUAAAACCAAAUUAUUAUAUUGGUCUAAAUGAGUCUACUCCACCAAACUAUUGUUAUUAGCAUGAGCCCCAUCAGACUGGUCGUGGGGGAGGUGUUGUAACAAUAUAUAGCGAUAUUCCCAAUGUUACCCAGAAAACAGGAUACAGGUUUAACUAAUUCGAAAAACUUAUGCUUAAUGUUACGCUGUCACAUAUGCAAAAGAAAUCAAUUGUAUUGCUUGGUCUGGCUACUAGGGAUGUGACGAGACAAUUAUCCCACGAGACGAGAUGACAGGUUUCCUGCGUGGUCUUAAAAAACCUUAAAAGCAUUGAAUUUAUUAAUUUGGAAAUAAUACCUUAAAAAGACUUAAAAAAGUCUUGAAUUUUGAUGUCUGGGUCUUAAAAUUUGUGCUGUAUGUAACUUCUUCGUAUUGUAAUUUUCCUCAAAAGUUUCAUUUGUCAACCACGAUUAUUUUGAUUAAAUGACUGUGGCGAGUGGGGCGGGGCCGAGGGACGUGGGAACAAGGAGUGAGGCCGGCGGAAUGAUUGGGAAAUCAGCGACACCUGCGACCCACCGCCGGUCUCGAGUCCCACGUAGGAGAUGGAAGGAUAUAAAACUGGAGCGACGAAAGUGAAGGACGAGAGAGGACUAGACCUGGGCCUUAUUUUAUGUUUGGCUUUUUAUUUGCGCCCAUCAGUCGUCCGUGAGGGGCUGAUGCGCUGUUUUGUUUGUUUUGUGAUUAUUAAAGUUUCAUUUUGAUUGUCUGCCGGUUCCCGCCUCCUUCUUCCCGAUGAUUAGGAAGUAUAUUAUUACAAUGACGUAGUAUAAAUAAAAAAUGACUGAACCAAUAUUUGAGAACGCAACACAGCCCCGGGUCACAGUACAAAAUACUGUGAACACGUGAUGCCUUCAGUAAAUGAUGAUCACGUGCUAUAGAACCACAACCAUAGACUGCAACACAACACAAACCUCAAGCAACAAGCAAAGGAUAAGCGCGAAAAAUCAACUAAAAUCUCAGCAUUCCACAGGAAAGAUUGACUGACGCCGUUAUAUUUCUAACGUUUGUUUUUACGUUAGCUAGCUACCAAUUUCAUUCUGAGGUUAUGGGGAAAUGUAAAUUUAAGGAAGCGUGGCUGUAUAAAAACAAUUUUCGUCAUUGGUUAAAACCAGUGAACAGCAAAGUUUUGAGGCUUUUUGCACCAUAUACAAAAAAAGGAUUCAGCAAGGUACAAUGGGAAUUAAGGCAUUAGAGUCUCAUGCCAAGUCGUCCAAGCACAUGAACGCUCUCAAUGGACAAAAACAAAUCGCCUGCCUGUUUCAACCAACGUAUGUUAGCCAGCCAGCUGCUAAUGUGCCUGAAGUGGCAGCAGGAGCUAAUGUUAGCCAGCUUGCUGCUAGUGCUGCAUGCCCUCCAGCUAUGUCCGCAACUAGAGUGGAUCAUCGCACAGCUUUUGGGUCCACACCAACAAUGAAAGCCGAGGUGUUGUGGACUCUUAACACAAUCACUAAACACCAGUCCUACAAUGGAAAUGAGGGUAUCUCAGAGCUUUUCAAGUUCAUGUUCCCUGACUCCGACAUCGCUAAAAUGUUUACUUGCGGCCCCAACAAAACAGCUUAUAUAGCCUAGUUUGGUUUAGCUAUUCACAUCAAAGAAGAACUGGUGUCCAAAGUCAUCAAAUCACCAUUCGUUCUGAUGUUUGAUGAGAGUCUCAACUAGACUACGAAAAACAAAGAGCUGGAUGUGCACCUCUGCUUCUGGAACGAGGAACAGGUUCAGUCUAGAUAUCUGGGCUCUCAGUUUAUGGGACAUUUCACUGCACAAGACCUGCUGUAACAUCUCAAAGUAAGGAUAAUAAUUUUAUCCUUAUUUUAAAAGCUCAUCAAUUUAUAUUGAUAGACUCAACUUUUGUGCAUAUACUCUUCUGUUACUGUAAUAUUACAUGACUAAUUAGUUAUUUCCCUUAACAAUAUGUGCUCAUCAAGUCCUCUUAUUUGAGUAAUCAAAUGCAACCCUUUUUUUUUUUCAAAAUGUAUGGACAGACUGAACCUCAGGGACUUGGUGUCCCUCUCAAUGGAUGGGCCCAGUGUGAAUUGGAAAUUCUUGGACCUUUUCCAGAAAGAUCACGCUGUAGCCGCACUGGGUUGUACAUAAUAAUUAACUCAAAUGAUAUAUAGGAAAUUUUAAUAAUUAAUCAGGAAUAUGAUUAAUAUAUAUAUCUCAUAUGACAGUUACAUUAAAAUGAUUGAAGAUGAAAAAUAGGUCAAUUGUGUAUACCAAUAACUCAUUACAAGGCACUGUAAUUUACUCAUUAAUAUGUCAAUAUUCCAUUCUUUAUAUCAAUUAUAGUGAUAUAUCUUACUGUAAAUUAUCGCAAAUCAAACAGUGGUUUGUCCAGCAAAAAGCCCUACGAUUAACUUAUCAACUUUCAAUAAAGUUAUCACUUCUUAUAAUUCAAGGAAAAAUAUUCUCUGGCCAUGAAAACAUUAUCCUUUCAUUAUGAAAUUUUGUUAUGAAAUUUUGACAUGACAUGAAAGAUUAUGAUAUGUCCAGGACAUGGACAAGCUAGAAUAGGAAGAAAACCAGGAGAGCUCUGGAAACUUGAUGUGAUUCUUUGGUGCUCAAGACAUUUCACCAUGCAUGCAUUUGGAAGGCUUCAUCUGAUUAAAAAAACAUGGUUUUAACAUAACCCAAUUUUUAAUAUUGUUAAAAAUUUAUAUCAUUUGUCUUAAUACACAACUUUAGUUGUCUUUAUGUUGUAUCCUCCAGUAAAGUACUGCACAUGGUGUUGGAUAAUAAAGUAGGGUGAAUAUUCUAUAUUAAGAAUGGUGUUUGGUAAAUACGCCAUUUAAUUUUGUAAACAAUAGACAUAAUGUGUUUUAAUUAAGAAAUGAACAUUUGGUUGCAUUAAUGACAUUCAGUUAGAUGAAGGUGAUGUACAAGGGAAAGAUCAACAUGAAUCCAGUUCUGUAUAAUAAGCAAGAUGAGCAUGCACAUUACUGAUGUUAAGUACCUGAGGAGGACAAAUUUGAGGAGUAUUUUACACAGAGACACAAAUUAGCUCUUAAUAUUGUGAUUCUUUGCAUUGCAUGAUAUGUAUGGCUUUUGCACCAUAAAUUACACACUCUCUGCACCUUGUCUUACUGAAUGACACAUUGUGUGAAAGUACAAUGAAGUGUCACAGUAUGUAUUGGUUGUUUAAAUUGUUGUCUUUGUUUACUGUCAACACUGUAUUCUUGCACCUGAUGUAAGUAAAUAUUUGGAGCCCAUUCCAAAUAGGCA